UACGUAGGGGGCAAGCGUUGUCCGGAAUUACUGGGCGUAAAGCGCGCGCAGGCGGCUAUCCAAGUCAGUGGUGAAAGCCCGGAGCUCAACUCCGGAACUGCCAUUGAAACUGUUUAGCUUGAGGAUGAGAGAGGUGAGUGGAAUUCCCAGUGUAGAGGUGAAAUUCGUAGAUAUUGGGAAGAACACCGGUGGCGAAGGCGGCUCACUGGCUCAUUACUGACGCUCAGGCGCGAUAGCGUGGGGAUCAAACAGG
rnacentral:rRNA from 1 species